rnacentral:rRNA from 1 species
UACGUAGGGUGCAAGCGUUUGUCCGGAAUUAUUGGGCGUAAAGAGCUUGUAGGCGGUUUGUCGCGUCUGCUGUGAAAUUUCGGGGCUCAACCCCGAACUUGCAGUGGGUACGGGCAGACUAGAGUGUGGUAGGGGAGAUCGGAAUUCCUGGUGUAGCGGUGAAAUGCGCAGAUAUCAGGAGGAACACCGGUGGCGAAGGCGGAUCUCUGGGCCAUUACUGACGCUGAGGAGCGAAAGCGUGGGGAGCGAACAGG